GGCUACCUACGGAGGCAGCAGUGGGGGAUAUUGCACAAUGGGGGAAACCCUGAUGCAGCGACGCCGCGUGAGUGAAGAAGUAUUUCGGUACGUAAAGCUCUAUCAGCAGGGAAGAAUAAUGACGGUACCUGACUAAGAAGCCCCGGCUAACUACGUGCCAGCAGCCGCGGUAAUACGUAGGGGGCAAGCGUUAUCCGGAUUUACUGGGUGUAAAGGGAGCGUAGACGGCUGUGCAAGUCUGAAGUGAAAUGCCGGGGCUCAACCCCGGAACUGCUUUGGAAACUGUUAAGCUGGAGGACUGGAGG
rnacentral:rRNA from 1 species